AUAGUAAUAAAAGCGCCAGGGCUGUGUUUGGUGAAAACACAGUUGACGAGGAGGAGGUUCAUCGAGCAUUCGGCGGAUGCCUCCCGGUUGCCACACUUCAACCGAAUGUUUAAAUGUUAAACCAAAGAGGCGACUCUUUGUCCAAAACAUUUAAACAAAGUGACU
rnacentral:ncRNA from 1 species